ACCCAGACUCCUACGGGAGGCAGCAGUGGGGAAUAUUGCACAAUGGGGGAAACCCUGAUGCAGCGACGCCGCGUGAGCGAUGAAGUAUUUCGGUAUGUAAAGCUCUAUCAGCAGGGAAGAAAAUGACGGUACCUGACUAAGAAGCCCCGGCUAACUACGUGCCAGCAGCCGCGGUAAUACGUAGGGGGCAAGCGUUAUCCGGAUUUACUGGGUGUAAAGGGAGCGUAGACGGCUGUGCAAGCCAGAUGUGAAAGCCCGGGGCUCAACCCCGGGACUGCAUUUGGAACUGUGUGGCUGGAGUGUCGGAGAGGCAGGCGGAAUUCCUAGUGUAGCGGUGAAAUGCGUAGAUAUUAGGAGGAACACCAGUGGCGAAGGCGGCCUGCUGGACGAUGACUGACGUUGAGGCUCGAAAGCGUGGGGAGCAAACAGGAUUAGAUACCCCGGUA
rnacentral:rRNA from 1 species